rnacentral:lncRNA from 1 species
AAGGGAUGCCGAAGGGUCACAAAGCUUGCAUGUCGCAAGGCGAUGUGCCUAGGCACGAGGGUGCCGAAGGCGACACAAAGCUUGCAUGUUUGUAAGCCAAUAUAGCUAGGCUCGGAGGUGCCGAAGGCAAAGGGAUGCCGAAGGCACAAAGCUUGCAUGUCGCAAGGCAAUGUGCCUAGGCACGAGGGUGCCGAAGGCAACACAAAGCUUGCAUGUUUGCAAGCCAAUAUAGCUAGGCUCGGAGGUGCCGAAGGCAAAGGGAUGCCGAAGGCACAAAGCUUGCAUGUCGCAAGGCAAUGUGCCUAGGCACGAGGGUGCCGAAGGCAUAAGAAUUGCAUGUCGCAAGGUGGUGGGCCUAGGCACGAGGGUGCCGAAGGCAACACAAAGCUUGCAUGUUUGCAAGCCAAUAUAGCUAGGCUCGGAGGUGCCGAAGGCAAAGGGGAUGCCGAAGGCAUAAGAAUUGCAUGUCGCAAGGGUGCCGAAGGCAUAAGAAUUGCAUGUCGCAAGGUGGUGGGGCUAGGCUCGAGGGUGCCGAAGGCGACACAAAGCUUGCAUGUUUGCAAGCCAAUAUAGCUAGGCUCGGAGGUGCCGAAGGCAAAGGGUGCUGAAGGGAAAAAUGCAAGAAUGCAUUUUUUUAUUAUUAUUUUAGGAAAGAAUAAUAAUAAAAAUAGCUUCCCUUUUUAUUUUAGGAGAAGCUAAGUGACCUCUUGGGUUUUCGUUAUGAGAAAGGCUAGACCUUCGGCAACGAUGGGCCUGGGGUGCACACGGCUUGAAAGGAGGAAGAGCCUAAGGAGGUUCAGUGUGGCUCUUGCCGUUUGGCAGGUCUAAAGCUUGAAGAAAAACGAACUUCGGGAGCUGUCAUUUCUCCUUCAUGGCCCUUGCUGUUCGGCAAGGGUGCCAAAUGUUGGCUGGGCUUAGCAUGAUAAUGGAUCUGGGCCCAUGGGAGAUCGUGAGCACGUCUUGAAUUUGGUAUGACCCUUUAGUGAGCACUAGUUUUGGAGCUAGGCCCUCAACAUUUCGACGGGGCUGUAGGUUUGUAUUUUGGGUUUAGGCAAGGCCGUAGGGUUUGGAAGGGGCGUGUUCACCUUUUGUUUAGAUCAAAUCUGCCGUUCGGCAAGGUGCAGUUGAAAGGAGCUACACACGCGAUUAUGGUUGAGUUGGUAAGUUCGAUUCGGCUAGAGCUAAGAGCGGGUCUGGGCAGGUCGGCAAGAGGAGAGUUGUCGCAAGUUUUCGUGGUUCAGCAAGGAGGUGCCGAUCGGCAAGGGACAGUCGAGGGGUUUUGGUGAGCUCUCUUCUUGCUGCGCAGCCCUUGCCAUUCGGCAAGGGUGAUUGAAAAAGUUCUUGGCAAGGGUCUUCUCUGGUUCCGCAAGGGUGUCUUCUCCGAUUGUAUAGCCCUUGCCGUUCGGCAAGGGUGUUGAAAAUUCUGAAGGGGCUGGCAUAAGCCCGCCGUUCGGCAAUGAUGGGCUUGGUAAAAAUUCUUCAGCUCGUGGGUCUUUUGGCAAGGUUGGCCUUCGAAGAUCUUGAAGCCGUCAGCACAAACCUUGUCGUUCGGCAAGGUUGGCUAGAAGGGAUUUUGUGAGUUGAACGGGGCUUCGGCAGCGCGGCGUGGGUUCGAGUUACAUUUGGUAAGACUUUCUGCGAGCUCCCAUUUGCUUCUGCUUAGCCCUUGCCGUUCGGCAAGGGUGUUUUUGGAAAGGAAGGUGAGUUUCCCACUUCGGCACCUUUGGGAUCGUGAGGCCAGUGCGAUGAUUAUUUUGUGGGGAAGCAGACUGUAGCAUAUGCCUGCCGAUCGGCAGGUUUGGUUUGGGAAGUUUUAGAGCUGUAGGGCAAGCUUCAGCGAUCAAAAAUUCGACUCCGGAAGUUGCAGCACCAUCCUUGCCGGCAAGUGUGUAAUUUUCGUG